UGUACAUUUAACAAAUAAACAUAACAAAUACUAAAAAAAAAUAUAAAUAAUUGGUUCCUACACGUAAAUUGUGGAGUAAAAUAGUUAUAAAAAAGCAUAGAUUUUUAAAAAAUUAAACAUUAUUAAUAUACAAAUUAUAUGCAUUAAUUUAAUUUGCCUACCUUUUUUAUAAGUCGACAUAUUACAUCCUCUUUCAUACAUUUCUAUCAGCUGUCAUAUUUGAAUUCCCUCCGUUACUCAUAACCUCUUUUACACUAUACGUUGAGUACAGAAUUAAACAUUCUGCCAAAGGUAGCGUACUGGCCACUAAGAACCUUUAACUUUUUAAUUAUGGAAAAAGGUAAGUGAAAAUAUUGAUCUAUAAAUGGACUGGCUAUAAGAAUAGCAUUUUGUGCCUAUUUGAUUUUGGUCAUUUUGGCGCUGAUAGUAGCACUUUGUAGCGGUGGUGUAAAUUGGAACUAAUAAUAUAGAUGACGUAACAUCAACAAGCUCGUUCAAUUCGGAACGAAUAAAAAGCUGUCAAUGUCUAGCAAUUGCCUAUCCAUUUAUAGAGGUCAGUGGAAAAAAGAAUAACGCGGGAAUUUUACGAAUUACCAACGAAAUAAAGUAAAGGAUAUUAUUAUUAUAUUUUGUAAAUACAUGUAGUUUUGAUAUAAUUAUUUAACAUCGAAUAAAAGCAUUUUUGUGUGCAUUAAUAGUUUGAAUUCAAACACGUUCGUCUAGACAUUAGAACACAAAUUAAACUUUAUACGAAACAAAAAUGAUUAAUGUGUAAUUUCUACAAUAUGUUAAUUUUAAUUGUUAAAAUCAGUACUUAAGUCUUCCCUUAGUGUAGAUUUAUUAUUAAAAAUCAAAGGCGACGGCAACUUAAUGGUGGUUUGGCAAUAGAUAAUUUUUGUACAAAAUUAUUUUGUUUUUUAGCUACGAAGUCAAGGGAAAAGGCUAGUUUACGGCUAUUGUACUUUAUUACUAUUAGAUUUUAAUUCCUAUAUAGAUAUGACAAUUGAAUUUAACCUUAAAUGUGAAUUUUAAAGUGCAUUUCCACUGCAGAAAAAAAUAUGCCAAAGAAAAAAUUUUACAUAAAUGUUAUCUCAUUUUUUCUAAGAUAAUGAAAAAGUAAAUUUUUGUAUAUUUGCAGUGGAAAUCCACUUUAAAUUAUUACUAUACUAAUUGCUGUUAAUUUUACAAUAAAUUAUAGAAAAAAAAAUCAUAUGGGCCUGUCCAUUUACGUGUGAGAUGUGAGAUUUUAUUCCAACUCCCUCCCCCAUCCCCCAAUCUCAUGUGAGAUUAAUCAAAAUGUGAGUUUCUUACGUAUUAUACGACUAAAUGGAUCAAAAUAGUAAUUUUUUUUUCUGUUUGCGUGA